UAGGGAAUCUUCGGCAAUGGACGAAAGUCUGACCGAGCAACGCCGCGUGAGUGAAGAAGGUUUUCGGAUCGUAAAACUCUGUCGUUAGAGAAGAACAAGGACGUUAGUAACUGAACGUCCCCUGACGGUAUCUAACCAGAAAGCCACGGCUAACUACGUGCCAGCAGCCGCGGUAAUACGUAGGUGGCAAGCGUUGUCCGGAUUUAUUGGGCGUAAAGCGAGCGCAGGCGGUUUCUUAAGUCUGAUGUGAAAGCCCCCGGCUCAACCGGGGAGGGUCAUUGGAAACUGGGAGACUUGAGUGCAGAAGAGGAGAGUGGAAUUCCAUGUGUAGCGGUGAAAUGCGUAGAUAUAUGGAGGAACACCAGUGGCGAAGGCGGCUCUCUGGUCUGUAACUGACGCUGAGGCUCGAAAGCGUGGGGAGCAAACAGG
rnacentral:rRNA from 1 species